CCCAAUCCCCUCUACCUUCUAUCUCACUCUUGAGUCUCACCAAAAUGGAAAAAUCCCUAGCCCUAUCAGGGCAAACAGCCGCCGCUACUCUGUCCUCGCCGUGAAGCCCGUCUCUAUCCUCGCCGUCGCCGUGAAGACCCCAAUCCCCUCUCACUUUCUGUGCGUAGUGCGAAUGUACCCGUGCCGCCGUGGACUCUUUGCCGUCGCCUCAUCUCUCUCCAUCGGGACCCCAGAACCCCGGUGACCCCAUUCUCAACCAAUGGGUUCAAGAUGGCUGAUCCGUCACUCAGGAAAAAAUCCAAGAUCUCAUCGCAUGCCUCUGUCGGAGACGUUGCUAUACGCACGCCCUUGAGGUUUUACACUUCAAGUUCCAACGUUUACUUUUCUUUUAGGAUAUAAUGAAGCCUAUUUAAUGGCACCCUUUCAUCUAAAACACUGAAUGCAGCUAGUUUCUAAUUGGGAUUUGUGUUCAUCUUUUAGUGACCGACAAUAUAAGUUGUAAUCGGAUCAUUUUUUUUGUUUCAUUUAUUUAGGCAAAGUUUGUGCAAGUUGAAAAUGAUGUUCUGUUCUAUGUUACUUUGAUGCUAGUUUAUUUAGUUAGUUUAUGGUAUACGACAAGAUACUAUGGUGGUGUUUGUUUUAUUAAUCUAUUCACAUCUAAUGGGAUAAGGAUAAGUUCAAUUUGGUGUA